GUCCCGACCUCUCCACUCGCCUCCUCUGGCCAGCCAACCAUAGUGGCAUCGUUCCUCUGACACCGGUCGGCGCUUCGACUUCGACUCCUACAACCGGCACCUCGACUUGUCAACAUCCUCCGUCGCCAAAUCUUAACCACUACGAGUUCAUCCGGCCAUCGUCGUGAACCUCCAAGCAGAUAUGCCACGCCCUUCAUGUCAUCAGGCCAACGACCUCACCCUGGGAGUCCACUUCUUCAUGGUCACGACAUCUGCCUUGAAAAAUUAUCUGGAGUGAGUUCCAGAGACGAAUGGGGAACUGGACUUUGAGCUGGAGCGGUCAUGUGUUCUUGCACCUGGGGAUUAAAAGCCAAUAUACAAUUUGUUCAUUUUCUUUUAGAGGGCAUGAUGUAGUGCCCAGGAUGCUCUUCGGAUGGCUCCCAGGAUGGGAUUGAACCCAGUUGAGGUCCUUGGGAAAUCAGGCCCUCCUGUUUCCAAGAUCAUAGGCUUUCACAAAGACAAGUAUACCAAGGAUGCCAUGGAGAAAGAUCGCCUAAAAGAACAAGGUCAUAAUGUUGUACCGAGGGCAUAAAGUUGUAUCCAGGAUGGGCUUGCACCUGGUUGAGGUCCAUCGGAAAUAGGACCAUCCUGCUUGCAAGAUCAUGGACUUCCACAAAGACAAGUAUAACAAGGAUGUCAAGUAGAAAGAGCACGUAAAAACCAAGGGAAGGGAGGAGUAAAUGAGAUGGUGGGAUUGACUCUAACCUGUCAAUCUGCUGGUUUUGAUGGCUGUAGUAUGUGUUGUUCAGUUGCAACAUAAGACAUGGAUGUGCAUGUUUUGAUCC